rnacentral:misc_RNA from 1 species
UAGAUUAACUAAGGGAAAGGGAAUGGGAAAAACAUGCAAGAAUUGCUGCUUGGCAGGUUAAUAUAAAGAGCAAUAUACUUCUUGUAGCGUGAUUGUGGCUGUUUUACUUAAAUUUACCUUAAAAUUAAAUUUUGAAUAUGCAAGAGUUGCAGUUUGGCAGGUUAAUAUAAAGAGCAAUAUACUUCUUGUAGCGUGAUUGUGGCUGUUUUACUUAAAUUUACCUUAAAAUUA